ensembl:snRNA U1 U1 spliceosomal RNA
AAAAUUAAGAAAGAAUGUAACAUUUACUUGAUCUCAAAGGUAGUUUCACCAGGAUGAGGCUUAUCCUUUGCAUUCUGGAUGUGCUGGCCCCUGCAAUUUCUCCAAAUGUGGGAAACUUGACUGCUUAAUUUGUGGUAAUGGGGGAACUGCGUUCAUGCUCUCCUCUG